rnacentral:sRNA from 1 species
CGAUUAGACGUGGGUCACCUCCUCCCGGCCCAAGUCACAGCGCCGGACCUCACUCCUCCUCCCAGAGGUCCGACCACAUAGGAAACGGCGCCGCUCACCUCCUCCCGAGCGGCGCCGUUUUU